rnacentral:RNase_P_RNA from 1 species
ACCGCGAAUGAGUCAGUCGCAGGCAGGAGUUUCUCCUGCUUGAGGAAAGUCCGGGCUCCAAGAAGCGAGUUGCUCGGGAAACCCGAGUGGGGGUAACCCCAAGGACAGCGCAACAGAAAAUAUACCGCCCCGCAAGGGGUAAGGGUGAAAUGGCGGCGCAAGAGACCACCGGCAGACCAGCGAUGGGCUGCGCAUUGCAAACCCCAACUGGAGCAAGACAAAAUAGGAAGGCAAAUAGGGCUGCUUCUCCCUGCCUUCGGGUAUGUCGCUUAGAUAAAUGACUGACCACGACAGAACCUGGCUUAUCAUUCGCGGUAUAU